UACGUAGGUGGCAAGCGUUAUCCGGAAUUACUGGGCGUAAAGCGCACGCAGGCGGUCUUUUAAGUUUGACGUGAAAGCUCCCGGCUUAACUGGGAGAGGUCGUUGAAGACUGGGAGACUUGAGGCAAUGAGAGGGGUGUAGAAUUCCCGGUGUAGUGGUGGAAUGCGUAGAUAUCGGGGGGAAUACCAGUGGCGAAAGCGGCACCCUAGCAUUAGCCUGACGCUCAUGUGCGAAAGCGUGGGGAGCGAACGGG
rnacentral:rRNA from 1 species